GGAGGUAGUGACAAUAAAUCUCAAUACGAAGCCUUUGGUUUUGUAAUUGAAUUGAGAACAAUGUACAAUCGUUAUCGAUAAACAAUUGGAGGGCAAGUCUGGUGCCAGCAGCCGCGGUAAUUCCAGCUCCAAUAGCGUAUAUUAACGUUGUUGCAGUUAAAAAGCUCGUAGUUGAAGUUUAGAUAAUUUAUUGAAAGUGUUUGUAUUCGUACAUUCUACUUUUAUGUAAGUUAUCGACAUCCAGGUGGGUGCCUCAGCUCUUUCGGGGGUUAGGGUACUAGACUGGUCAUUUACUGUGAGAAAAUUAGAGUGUUUAAAGCGGACUGUUCAGUUUGAAUAGAUUAGCAUGGAAUAAUAUGAUUGGCUUUCAUAGUCGAUUUUUUGGUUUGUUUAUGAAAGCAAGAUUAAUAGGGACAGUUGGGGGUAUUCAUAUUCAAUAGCUAGAGGUGAAAUUCUAUGAUUUAUGGAAGAUGAACAAGUGCGAAAGCA
rnacentral:rRNA from 1 species